GAUAACUAAUAAUUUGUAUUAAAAACAUACGGAUCGCACAAUAAAAUAAUAAUACUAUAAAAAAAUAAAUAUUCAAAAAUAAAGUUUGUGAAAUUACAGUAGAGCACAGAUAACAUCAUUUGAAGUCCUCCCAUGAAUAACGAAGACUAGACAAUACGCCUUCCAACAAUCUCAACAGAUUUUUCACCCGAAUAUAUUAAUUGUCCAUGACCUUGGUAUAGGUCAGCUCUCAAAGUAUCCUAAUUGUUCCUCAUGUUUAGUCUAAAACGCGAACUCUCAAUCUUGAUGUAGAUGUCAACUUCGAACUGCUGGAAAACAUACUCACUCCCCUUGCCCAUAUGGAGUCCGAAGUGUAUAGAAUUAGACCACAAUCAUAGUAUAAUACAUUUAAUGGAUAACAUAUAUAAUUUGAACAUGUUAUGAUUUCAACAGAGAAGAAAAAUAUAUGGCUAAAAAUAUCCAACGAGGCUAAAGAAUCCAUAGAUACAUAAAACUUGCUUUAAAUUUUAAGCAACAUUUAGAAGUGAUGGAUCUUGACUUCUGAGCAAACAAACAAGAUAUCCAUCACACAGUGGUGACACAAGAUAUUUCCAUGAAAAUGCAAGAGCACCUUGCUUGAACAUAAGGAUCAAAUCAAUAUGAAUUUUAACUAAAGAUGCCUAAUAAAAAAUGAAAAUCCUUAUCCUCUACCACCCUAUUUCCAUAUGAAUCCUAGCUAACACCUGUUUUCAUACCCCACAGGAUCACAACUCAUAUUCCUUCUCCUAACCUUUUUAUCUUCCCGUUGUAUUUUUAAUAAUUGAAUAUUGACAUGUAGAAAGCAUCCUAUUAUAACCCUAUUAUAAUAGUAUAAAUUAAUAAGCUACUUACCCCUUGUAUAUUAUUCACCUCACUAAAUAGAAAAGGACGCAGCGACCCAAUAGAAACAUAAUAAUGCUCAGUGGGCCAAUGCUUGUAUCAUUGCAAACCACAACGAUCUUUGCAGUCAUCUGGAGAUUUUCAUCCAUACUCAAAGUUGGCCAAUUAUGUAUCUUCCCAUCAGUUAUGAAUCAACUCAUUAUGAGAAUAAAAUGGUCCAGUUUUUUUUUGACAAUUAUAUAACAUCAGCAUAUCCAUUAUCGCAAAAAAAGACAUUUGUGUCUGAAGGUGUCAUUCUUGUAAGGAAUAUCUCCAUAAUCAUCUUUUGGAAUGUUCUAGCAUUCCAGUUAUAUAGGAAAUCAUUGAGCGUCAAAAUUACAUGCAAUCCAAAUAAUACCAUUGCUAAAAAAAGGAUUAUUUUUGCAAGUACAUUAACAGUUUUGUCUUGAUAAUACGAAAUGGCCAUGAUAAUGCACUAAUUAGUAGAGAGGGGCAAAGGCACAUGUGCCUACCUGAGAAGUCAGCAGUAAGCGCUCCAACUUUACUCUUUGUGUCUUCUAUUUCAAAAGGUUCCUCUUUACAAUACUAUUUUGUUUCUCUUGACCUUGCUGUACUGAACACUCCUAUCUCAUUUUAAGAAUCUAGAGGUUUUUGUACUGAUAGCCUGACACUUGGAGUUGUUAUUGGUGGAGAUGGGCAAUCCUCUGAAUCUGUCAUUACUGCAUUCAGAGAGUUCACAGGAUCUAGCCAAGCACAAAGAGUUGUGUAAAUACUGAUACCUCAUAGAGGGAUGCAUUGAAAUAAUGGAAAGUAGUUUCUUGAGUAAGCUGUAAGGCUGGAAGUAAAAGACAGAGGAAUCACCAUAGAAAAUAGUUGGAGACUUGUUAAACUACAUAGUACCUGAUUUUGAACAAGAACAUUGUUCUGACUUUUUUUUAUAAUAACAUUGUUCUGAUUGGCUCUGGGCAAAACCCAUGCUGAAGUAGUUUUUAUUUCUUUAUCUGCAUUGCUAAGUUCCCAAAUCAACGAUUUCAAGUCAUCUGUCCAGUUUCCGACCUGCCAAAGCAGCAACCAAAAAGCGACAGUGAAGAUGCCACGCACAGCAACCAACGAGUUAACAAUUCGACUGAUGUACAUCGGUGGCAUCAACCAUUUUAUUUAACAUUAUGCUAAAUACAGUGCAGGCUAGGGAAUAUGUGAAAACUACUAUGUUACUUAAUCUGCUAAAGGGGAUCAUAAAAACCACAAAAAUUAAUCACCUACAUCCAUAAGUUGGUAACUGCCACCUUGCUUAUGGAUUCAUGAAUCAUACAACCACAUAGUCUAAAUUUGAAUCAUAGUUAAAUCAACCUGAGUUUGGAAAUAAUAUUAAGACAGUAAGAUGGUUUGGUGCACACAAAAUAAUUAGCUAAUUAGACUGAAAGUCUCAUAAUACUAAGAAAGGUAGAUCUUUUCUAACAAUCAAAUAAUGUUUGACUACGAAAGGGUUAACAAUAAUAAUUAAAGUUAAUAUCAACUAAAAUAUCUUGAAUAUGUUUAGCUUAAAUAUAGCUUGAAUGAAAGCUUUCUAAAAUCAGCAGCAAAAAUGGUAGAUUGCCUUCUGGAUAAAGCUCUAAUAAAAUAAAUCCCGCACCAAAAUAGAAUCAAAGCAAUUCAAACAUAUAUAUAUACAGGUACCGAUUAGGAUUCCAGAUGCAGAUCAACAAAGGAAAGACAAUGGUAUAGGCAAUCAUACCUAUCUUCUGAAAUUUGUGAUUCCCCUUAAUAUGACUAUAUGAGUCAAUCUGUUUGCAAAGGUAAUAGACUGAAUAGGCUAAGUACAGAAUCUGAACUGAAACUACUUACAUUUUGUACUAAAAAAUAAGUAAGAGUGAUAAAGUGUAAUAUGUUUAGUCUACUUACUUAGCUGAGUUAUGAAAUGAGCAUGCAAUUCCUGCAGGAUCCAUAAUGACAUAUAUAUUGUCAC
rnacentral:lncRNA from 1 species